rnacentral:rRNA from 1 species
AACGAACGCUGGCGGCGUGCCUAACACAUGCAAGUCGAGGGAGAAAGCCCGCAAGGGUGAGUAAACCGGCGAACGGGUGCGUAACACGUGGAUAAUCUACCUUCCUGACUGGGACAACUGGCCGAAAGGCUUGCUAAUACCAGAUAAGCCCACGGCGUCUUUGGACGCUGAGGGAAAAGGUGGCCUCUGCAUGCAAGCUAUCGCAGGGAGAUGAGUCCGCGGCCCAUCAGCUAGUUGGCGGGGUAAAAGCCCACCAAGGCUACGACGGGUAGCUGGUCUGAGAGGAUGAUCAGCCACACUGGAACUGAGACACGGUCCAGACUCCUACGGGAGGCAGCAGUGGGGAAUCUUGCGCAAUGGGCGAAAGCGUGACGCAGCAACGCCGCGUGGGGGAA